rfam:Camelus ferus unplaced genomic scaffold scaffold1086, whole genome shotgun sequence.
GAGGGUAUAGCUCAGUGGUAGAGUGCCUUCUUAGCAUGCACAAGGUCCUGGGUUCAAUCCCCAGUACCUCCA